rnacentral:rRNA from 1 species
AUGGGCGUGCGUGGAGAGAUCUUGCAGAAGCGAAGGGGGAAGGUGGAUACAGGCUCGAUUCUGCAGAAGCAUAAUGCAAAGGAGAGGACGUGCUCCCCUGAUCAGCUCCGCGGACGUACACAGGGUAUCAAUCGGCCUGUCAAGGCUGAAUCACCUCUGGCCGGAGAGAUGUCUCAGAAGCGAACAGAGAAGCUGGAUACAGUCUCGACUCCACAGAGGCAUAGUGCAAAGGAGACAGCGUGCCCCCCUGAUCGGCUCCACGGACGUACACAGGGUAUAAAUCGGCCUGUCAAGACUGAAACAGGUUUGUCUCAGAAGCGAAGGGAGAAGGUGGAUACAGGCUCAAUUCCACAUCGGCCUGUCAAGACUGAAACAGGUUUGUCUCAGAAGCGAAGGGAGAAGGUGGAUACAGGCUCAAUUCCACAGAAGCAUAAUGCAAUGGAGAAGAUGUGCCCUCCUGAUCAGCUCCGCCGACAGAUGCAGGGUAUCAAGCGGCCUGUCAAGACUGAAGCAUGUAUGUCUCAGAAGCAAAGGGAGAAGGUGGAUACAGGCUUGAUUCCACAGAAGCAUAAUGCAAUGGAGAAGACGUGCCCCCCUGAUCAGCUCCGCCGACGGCAACACCGCUGCUAUCCAGAACAGAGAGAAGAAGACGUGGGCGAAAUAAUUCAGAAGCUGAACAAAUUGGGAUUGGGAGAGGAUAUCAGCUUUGAGGAGUACUAUGGAUGCUUGGAGCAGCUGCCUCUCGACCCCGUGUUGAUACUUCCAAUAAACUCGACCUUAUGGCUCGCUUUCGCAUGGACCUUCGUCAUGCGGUGUAUCGCAUCAUAUCCUACAAGGUUCCAUCCAUCCAUGCCUCUAUUUUUCAGUCAUCUAUUAAGUGCUGUUCAAUCUUUGUUAAACAAGGAGUCCAAGAAUGAGUUGUGCCGUCUUGAACUGAUGGAGUGCCCAAUGGAUCUUCUUGACAAGGACGAAUUUCCUAAAGAUUUCCUCGUGGAGAUGCAAUAUUUUAGCUUCUUCGAGAGAACAGGUGCAUUAGACUGGUUCUUCGACCCUGAUCUGCCUGCUGGCCUGAAUGACUACCAGCGUCUAGUUCCUCAUGAUCAUGGUCAUGGUGAGUAUGCUUUCUGGGGUGCGUACAGAAGUUACUUUCAUAGCUACGAGAUGCAACUUGAAUACAUCAAGUACUUUGAAACAUUAUUAAGGGAACUUGAGGAUUGUUUUACUUACAUGAGCUUCGAGGCUACUUGGUGUAACGGGUCCGAUGAUCUCUAUUUUGAGAUUUGGAAGCGGGUCACUCAACAAAAGGUACCAGUUGAUGAAGCUCAGGCGUUGAUUGCAGAGGCAGUUAAAAAGCUGAGGAUAAAACCCAUAUUCUAUGAUGGCUAUAUCAGAAAGAAGAUAGACAUUGCCAAACCUAUAGGAGUGAUUACUGAGCUCACUCUGCCCAUCCACCGGCCAGCUCUCCUGCGCCGUCGCCGUCGCCACCUGCGCCGCGGCCAGCACCUGCCCCGCCACCAGCUGCACGGCCUGCUCCGCCGCUACCGUCAUGCGCCUACGCUCCACGGCUACCUGCGACGCCCGCCACCUUCCUGCGACGCCACGGGUGGGGCGCCCGCCACCUGCUCGACCCGCGGCGCGGCCUCCUUCCGUGCGCCCGGCCGGAGCGCUCAAAGGAUGGAGUUGCGGUUUGCUUUCAUGGUGCACAUUAGAAGGGACCGGUACAUGUUCGAUGCAAAGGAUAAGAAGAAAUACCAAGGAGGUUUUGAUUAUCGGUUGCCAAUGGCUAGUAAUUGGAGUUUCAGACAAUUUGAGGAGGUAAUUUGUAGCCAAUAUCCUUGGGGUUUGCUUGAUGAAGUGGUAUACAAAUACUAUGAUGGGGAAAAGAAUUGGGUGACAGUUACUAAUGAUGAAGAGCUAGCUACCAUGUUUGUUAGGCAUAAAGAGAAAGAUAAUUUUCAUGUGAGGCUGCAAGUUGAUGUGCUUGAGCAGGCAUUUGGACCUAGGAUGACGGAUGCAACAUCUCGGGGAGAACCAAGUCGUCGUAAUGGCAUCUCUAGCCAGAACAGUUCAGUUGGUGCACGGCGACGUGGUGGCUCGACAAGUGUGGGAAAUAUCAGUAGGGUCCCCCUUGAAGUGGAGCCUGAUGACUACAAUUCUGGGGUUGAUGAAGAGAAGCUAUAUUCUGAUGUUAUUCGGAAUUUACGACGGGCACCUCGGACUGAAAACCAAGAUGAGGCUCACAAUGCAGUCCGUGUGGAUGAUGACGCGGUGGGUGAGGACGAAGACCUUGCAGCUGUUGAAUGGGACCCUUUGAACCCUCAUAUGGAAGAAGGCUUCGAUGAAAAUGUUGGUCAGCAGCCGGUUGCCUCGACAGAUGAUAAAAAUGAUGGUCAACAGCCGGUUGCAUCAGAUGAGGAUUUUGACGAGGUUCCAAAUGAUGAUGGUCAACAGCCUCAUGAUUUUGACGAUGAUCCAAAAUAUCCUCCAAAUAAUGAUUCAAGUGAGGCUCCAAAUGGUGAUCCAAGUGAGGCUCCAAAUAGUGAUCAUGGUGAUCCAAGUGAGGCUCCAAAUGGUGAUCAUGGUGAUCCAAGUGAUGCUCCAAAUGAUGAUCCAAGUGAGGCUCCAAAUGGUGACCAACCUUCUGUUGUUGUGAGUUCUGCUAGGUUUGAAGAAGACGCGUAA